UGGGGAAUUUUGGACAAUGGGCGAAAGCCUGAUCCAGCAAUGCCGCGUGUGUGAAGAAGGCCUUCGGGUUGUAAAGCACUUUUGUCCGGAAAGAAAUCCUUGGCUCUAAUACAGUCGGGGGAUGACGGUACCGGAAGAAUAAGCACCGGCUAACUACGUGCCAGCAGCCGCGGUAAUACGUAGGGUGCAAGCGUUAAUCGGAAUUACUGGGCGUAAAGCGUGCGCAGGCGGUUUUGUAAGACGGAUGUGAAAUCCCCGGGCUUAACCUGGGAACUGCAUUCGUGACUGCAAGGCUAGAGUAUGGCAGAGGGGGGUAGAAUUCCACGUGUAGCAGUGAAAUGCGUAGAGAUGUGGAGGAAUACCGAUGGCGAAGGCAGCCCCCUGGGCCAAUACUGACGCUCAUGCACGAAAGCGUGGGGAGCAAACAGGAUUAGAUACCCUGGUAGUCCACGCCCUAAACGAUGUCAACUAGUUGUUGGGGAUUCAUUUCCUAGUAACGUAGCUAACGCGUGAAGUUGACCGCCUGGGGAGUACGUCGCAAGAUUAAAACUCAAAGGAAUUGACGGGGUCAUAGCUG
rnacentral:rRNA from 1 species